GCUCCGGCACAUUCCCGCAGCGGCUCCGGCCGAAGCGAGGAGGGCACGGGCGGGCACCGCCGGCCCGGGGGACUGCCCCAGCCGCAUUGGAAAAGUACCCCAACUCACCAAUGACUGCAAAACAAAUACUGGAAGUCAUUCAGAAAGAAGGGUUAAAAGAAACAAG